GGCUCAGGAUGAACGCUAGCGACAGGCUUAACACAUGCAAGUCGAGGGGCAACAGGGAGUGUGCUUGCACACUCUGCUGGCGACCGGCGGACUGGUGAGUAAUACGUAAGCAACCUGCCUAUCAGAGGGGAACAACAGUUAGAAAUGACUGCUAAUACCGCAUAUGCCAUAGGAACCACAUGGUUCCAGUGGGAAAAGGAGCAAUCCGCUGAUAGAUGGGCUUACGGCUGAUUAGCUAGUUGGUGGGGUAACGGCCUACCAAGGCGACGAUCAGUAGCCGGACUGAGAGGUUCAACGGCCACAUUGGGACUGAGACACGGCCCAGACUCCUACGGGAGGCAGCAGUGGGGAAUAUUGCACAAUGGGGGAAACCCUGAUGCAGCGACGCCGCGUGAAGGACGAAGGUCUUCGGAUCGUAAACUUUUGUCUUCAGGGUCGAUAAUGACGGUACCUGAGGAGGAAGCCACGGCUAACUACGUG
rnacentral:rRNA from 1 species